GAAGGCCUUCGGGUUGUAAACCUCUUUUCUGAGGGACGAGGAAGGACGGUACCUCAGGAAUAAGUCUCGGCUAACUACGUGCCAGCAGCCGCGGUAAAACGUAGGAGGCGAGCGUUAUCCGGAUUUACUGGGCGUAAAGCGCGCGCAGGUGGCUUCGUGAGUCGGACAUGAAAGCUCCUGGCUUAACUGGGAGAGGCUGUUCGAUACUGCGGGGCUUGAGGUUGGGAGAGGGACGCGGAAUUCCCGGUGUAGUGGUGGAAUGCGUAGAUAUCGGGAGGAACACCAGUGGCGCAAGCGGCGUCCUGGCCCACACCUGACGCUGAGGUGCGAAAGCGUGGGUAGCAAACAGGAUUAGAUACCCUGGUAGUCCACGCUGUAAACGAUGUCAACUGGGUGUCGGUAGUUUUACACUAUCGGUGCCGAAGCUAACGCG
rnacentral:rRNA from 1 species